rnacentral:rRNA from 1 species
CAUGGGGAGGUAAUUUCUCCUAAGGCUAAAUAUCGGCGAGAGACCGAUAGCGAACAAGUACCGUGAGGGAAAGAUGAAAAGCACUUUGAAAAGAGAGUUAAAUAGCACGUGAAAUUGUUGAAAGGGAAACGAUUGAAGCCAGUCGUACCUUCGGGUAAUCAACCUUUCGGGAUGCGAUUCUGUGGAGUUUGAGGAGCUUAACGCCCUCCGGGUUUGCAUAUUCGUACUCCUUGGGUGUGUACUUCCCCUGUGGUAGGUAAACAUCCUAGUCCGCAUAAAAUGAUGGGAGGAUUAGCUUCGAUUGG